rnacentral:rRNA from 1 species
UCCAUCUGGUGGCAACACCAGUGAAGAUUCAGUGGCGAACGGGUGCGGAACACGUGAGCAACCUGCCCCGAAGACCGGGAUAACGGCGGGAAACUGCCGCUAAUACCGGAUGUCCCCAUGAGAUCGCAUGGUCUUAUGAGGAAAGGAUUACCGCUUCGGGAGGGGCUCGCGGCCUAUCAGCUUGUUGGUGGGGUAAUGGCCCACCAAGGCUACGACGGGUAGCUGGUCUGAGAGGACGAUCAGCCACACUGGGACUGAGACACGGCCCAGACUCCUACGGGAGGCAGCAGUGGGGAAUCUUGCGCAAUGGGCGAAAGCCUGACGCAGCAACGCCGCGUGGGGGAUGAAUGCCUUCGGG